CUCAUAACUACUGAAGACUCUGAUCAGUAUGAAACAUGGCCAUCAGAGCUUCACGCAGCUUCUUCACCUUAUCAGUCUUUCUGCUCUGGCUACCAGGCCGUACCGCUGGCGGCGAGCCGGUGUCCCAGACUCCUACGCUGUGGGCGAAUCAGGACGCCGACGCCACGAUGCAGUGCGGCCACACAAAGGGCAGCACGUACCGCCUGAUGUACUGGUACCAGCAGCUGCCGGGUCAGAACAUGAAGCUAAUCGUUUUCACCACGGCGUACAGCACACCCGAGUACGACCCGGGCUUCACGGAGGAGAAGUUUCCGGCGCAGAAGAAGAACGCGGAGACGGGAUCUCUGACGGUGAAGGAGGUGAAGCCUGAAGACAGCGGAGUGUAUUUCUGUUCUGUCAGUGAGACACAGUGACGCAGCUGAUUAAAGAGCUGCACAAAAACCCGGCUGAGACCCAGAGAACGGAAAAUAUUGUUUUGAGCUGACUCUAGAGGGCGCUAAAGGCCACAUUACACAUCACUAAUACCUUCUAGGAAAGGUUACUGACUACAGUGGGUUUAUUUUGACUGUAUAUUUCUAUAUGUGCUAUCAAAUAUACAUCACUGCCAAUAAAAUACAGCAAUUCAACGUGACAAAAGUUAAUCAGAUACGAAUGCUUUUUGCAAGACUGUAAUAUGCGCUUCUUUUUUUUUUUCCAGAUUUAGCUUUAUUUGGUUGCUGGAGUUGUUUAUUUCUUUUUAAGAAUGAAAUCUAUAAAAAAAAUAAUGGUGGCCAACAAAAGUUGUUUCAUGGAACAAGUAAAAUUUAACCCUCAGGAUGCAACGGGCUAAAAAGUAUGUUUUGUGUUUUUGUUUCAUUAUCAUGAAACAUUUUCUAGGUUUUUCUUCACUUAUUACAAAAUAUGCAGAGACUCUAUUGUGGAUUAAACGACAUGGAGUCGGCUUGAAUCGGAUGUUGCUAUGACGAUCCCAUUUUGUGCCUCCUCCCCUCUCAUGAGUUCAGCAUGUCAGUCACAGCCAAGACGGAGAGGAAGAUAAAGACGUCAUGAUCAGCAUCAUCACUCCGCUGCUGCUGCUUCUGGGGUAAAACGCUUUAUUUCCUCGCCGUUGUAUAAAUCAAAUUAAUAUCUUUGUCAAACUAUUCUUAACUUCAUCUCUCUUUUUUAACUAU